rnacentral:rRNA from 1 species
UACGUAGGGUCCGAGCGUUGUCCGGAAUUACUGGGCGUAAAGAGCUCGUAGGUGGUUUGUCGCGUUGUUCGUGAAAACUCACAGCUCAACUGUGGGCGUGCGGGCGAUACGGGCAGACUUGAGUACUGCAGGGGAGACUGGAAUUCCUGGUGUAGCGGUGGAAUGCGUAGAGAUCGGGAAGAACAUCAGUGGCGAAGGCGGCCUGCUGGGCUGUUGCUGACGCUGAGGCGCGACAGCGUGGGGAGCAAACGGG